rnacentral:rRNA from 1 species
UUCGGGGCGAAACGGACAGAGCUCGUGAAUCCGGGUGACGGAAUUCAGAAUCGACGACGUUCACGCGCCGUAGGCUCGAUAUUUCCGUCACCGCGGACGUCGCGACCCGUUUGGUGUCGGUUUGAGGAGACGCGUGAAAGUUCGUUAACGCGUGGUGCUUCGGUUCCGGGCGCGUCGACGAGUACGCGUUCUAUUUCUAGCCGACUCGCCAGACGGUACUAAUGGUGAUCGCAGCGGCCUCAGCGUCGCUGCUCGACGCCUGUCUGCGACGAAUCUUCGAGUCUCUUUCCGACCCGUCUUGAAACACGGACCAAGGAGUCUAACGUGCGCGCGAGUCGCGGGGUAUCGAACGGUUGGUGUUCGCAUCGGCCGUUCGUUAUAAUACGAAACCCGUCUCGUUUUACGAAAGGCGCAAUGAAAGUGAAUUUUGGGGAAGAUGACGUUACCGAGUUCACGUUCCGUACUCGCGUAGUAUGGCCGGUCGUCCGCAUUCCCAGGGUGUCUCAAAGUCCGAUUCUAUUGCGGACUGCCGUUUCUUCGGGAACGGUAGUCGGAUUCUAUCGAGCUGAGGCGCACCUAUAGCGUACACGUUGGUACCCGAAAGAUGGUGAACUAUGCCCGGCCAGGAUGAAGUCAGGGGAAACCCUGAUGGAGGUCCGCAGCGGUUCUGACGUGCAAAUCGAUCGUUUGAGCUGGGUAUAGGGGCGAAAGACUAAUCGAACCAUCUAGUACUGUUUCCCCUCCGAAAGCGUCAAAAUGUAUUUAGU